CGUUAUGCCCAGUAAUUCUGCUUGUAUGGAACACACCUUAAGAGAAAGGAAGAAAUACACUCUCAGGAAGGGAAGGAGACCAGUUGCCACAAUAUUCAUGCAGCACUCAGCCACCAAACCAAAGCUUAGUAACCAGGAGCUGGAUAUAAACUCGUUUGUUAAUUAAACAAAAGCAGUUCUCUCGUCUUCUUGGUACCAUACCCGGGAGAACCUUACACAGUGAGAAAUGAAUGCCAGUGCUUUCAAAGGAAAUAAUCACCAACAACUAGACAAAGUUGAACACUGAGGGAAGGGUUGGAUUAGGACCAAACCAUCCAAAAGAGAUGAGAUCGUGUCUGUGAAUUCUGUUUUCUAAGGUAAAGGGGAGUUAUCUUUUCAAAGGCCUUCCUCGGAAGUUUUAAAUAAGACGUUUCAGAACUUGAAGGCAAUUAGAGAGUCCACUGCAGGAAAAUCCAGGCCCAUGGGGCGCCCCAUAUCCAAACCAAGAUACAGAAAGCAAGCUCUAGCCACCUCCCCGCUUCCACGCUGCAGGUGUGCUUGGUCAUUUCCUAGCCAGGCCUCUUGAUUUCCCAACCAUAAACUCCAGAGGAUGAAGCCAUGCCUUCUGACUCCUUUCUCUUUUGGUGUCCAGCCAAGUGGUGAGCACAGAUAAAGUGCUUAUACAGACUAUUUAAAUAAAUGAGUGAAUGAAUGAAUGAAUGAAUGGACACAUCUCAGUUUCAGGCUCUCCCUCUGACGUUUUUAAUUCCACUGUCUUUCAAAAAAAAAAAAAAGUUUCCAACUAGGAAGCUUUGUAAACCGCAGUUUUAGAGGAGCAGUCUGAGGACCCCGCAGGCCUCAGGACCACUCCUUCUUCACCCCUCUCCUCACUUCCAGUAUGACUAGGAGGAAAAUCAGUUCUCCACUCUAGUCAAUCGAGUUCCAGGCUAUUCCCAAAGUGUUUCAGGCUAAAGUUCUGUCCAAUGUCUCUCUGAGGCUCAGGCCUCCUCCCUUCAUCAUCCAGAUACAUACCCCAGUCCCUAUUAGCUCAUAGUCCUGGCUGAAUGCUUGAAUGUUCACCUGCAGAACCCACCAACAGCUACAAGUGUUCUGCUGGGUAGAAAAGACAAAGAAUACAAGGGGCUGCAGUCCGUGCCCCCAGGGCAGGCAGCCCUCAGCUAACUGUUCUGCUCUCGCCCAGCCCACGGAGGGCUCUGCUCAAGAAGCCAAGUCAUUUUUGCCAGGGUUCAUCUAAUUCGCCUCAUCUCUUGAUCUCCCUGCACAAUGUUGAGCAAAACUCUUCCCCGGAAAGAGACGGGGGGAGGGGGUCAGAUCAAGUGUGUGCUGGUGAGACAGGGAGUCGAUGCCUAUUGAAGAGCUAGGUACACCACGGACCUGGUGCCCGGUGCAGGCCAGCUCGCGGGCACUUCCCUGGUUCACUGUUUAUGUCCCUGCCAACAGCAAGACCUCAUUCACGUGAGAAUCAGACUCCUUGAAAGAAAUGCUCUGCCUAAGACCAGCUGCCUCGGGGGCCCCUCGCACCCAGUGAGCCCACACUUCUGGCACCCUAUGUGGAUGAGUGUCCUCCAGAGAAAAGGCUCCAACCUCCCUCACUUCCAGACAUCCUAACUCCCCAGCAAGAAGCGCCGACGUGUGUCACCUAAGAUGCCACCCACCCCAGAGCUGAGCCCUUGCAAAUUUGCCUGGCUCCCAGUGGGGUUAGAAAACAUUUGGAUCCCUGCCCUGGAAACCCCCUGUGCUGGGAAGGGAGAUAAAGCCAUGUUCAUUGAGGUUAGUCUUAGGACCAGUUACCCAAGUGAGGUCUCCCUUCUAGAUUCCGAACACGGUGGAGCAUCCAGCCUGACCCCAUUUCUUAGCAAUGAGAAGAAAUGAAACUUUGAAAGCUAUGACAUGGAGAAAGAUGUCUAAAAAGAGAACUCAGGCACAAAUCCCUGACGCUGGGGGCACCAGGCUGGUGGCCUGUCCUUGUCCCCUCCCUGCCAUCCCUGGUACUUGGGAAGGAAGCAGCCUGACGUGACCUGCUUGGCCUUCUGCAGGGCCACAGACAGGGAGGCUAGCAAUCCGUCUCCACUUCUGCUAGAGAUCCAAAGCAGUGAAGACCCCGUAAUGCCCAGGAGAAGGUACAGAUGCGGAAGCGCCCCUCCGGGCAGAGAGGCAGGUGAGCAGGCUCAACCCAGAUAGCAAGGUAAAGAAAUCCCCCGGGGAUCCCUCCAGCCGCAAACAGACAGGCUCACAGGUAAACUGACGGGAAGUGACACUCAGAGGCUCUCUGAUCUGCCUGGAAAAUGAUUUUAAAACAGAACCUAAAUCCAGACGGGUGGGACAGGUCCGUCUUUGCCCGACAGUCCCUGAGGCCCAUGUCCACAAUCCUCCUGGCCAGCCAGAGUGAGAAACUGGACAUUUCCUCUAGGGAAAUGUUUGAACUGUUUGGCACCUCCCUUCCCCAAAAUUUCUCCGCUUCCUACCCCAACCGCCAUCCCACCAUGGUCCCCACUAUCCACAGGACCUCUGAGCUCACCCAGCACCCUCCAUGGUCACUGGGUUUGAUGGCCACAAAGGGUAGAUGAUGACCAGCGUCUCACUUUCAAUUUCCCUUCUUGCAGGAACUAGGCAACGAGAUGGUGGUACAAUACCUGAUCACCACCUCUCCCAGAUUCCACAGGUCACAUUGCCGCUAGGGGCCCUGCCCUCAGGGAGCUUACAAUCUGACGAUGGGCUGACACCCCCUGCUCCCGAGAGAAGAAAAAUAAACAAGAAACAAUGAGAGCAAGAGUUUGAAAGCCACCUGGAGAGAAUGUCCUGUUUGGGUCGGUUCAUCCCACAAAUGGCUAUUGACAGCCUAGUAUGUCCGGGGCGCCAGGCUAAGUCCCAGGGAUAUAAAGAUAAAUAAGACAUGAUCCCUACCCCCUCGAGAUUUCUUGUGCUUGGGAAGAACACUUGGGAGCAAGGUCCUUGUGAGACUUUGACGUGAGCGCCCUGUGGGGGCACGAAGGACUGUCAUGGAAACCCUCAGGAGCAGCAGCCAGGCUUGAUGUGCUUAGGAGAAACUUCCCGCAGACGGUUCCCGAGAAGAACCUCCAUGACGAGGUAGCCGCUAAAAGGGAGAAAGACAGAGACAUUCACUGCAUCCAAUGGUGAGAACUUAUCUCAGAAUCUGAGUACCGUGGGCAUGGCUGUCUCCCCCACACCAUGUGGAGACCCAUCUGGGAUCUGUUCAAGGCAGCCCCAUACCCGGAGAGGGCUUCAGAACUUGUCUUGCUGGGACAAGACUUUAGGCCGGCCAUGUCUUAGGAGACCUGCUCUCCCCUUAUCCUACCCUGGCCUCGCCGGCACCCCCACUCACUCCCAUCACCACCAACAGUCCCACCAACACCCCGCCUGGAAGAGCAGCCACCCCGUGUGAUCCUGCUUCUGAGCUACAGCCAACUCAGCCAGCGGGGGGCCAGCCAGAGGCCCAAGAGGUGGCCUAGCAUGAAAGUGGCUACUAACAUGGGCCAUGGUGACAACAGAUCUCGUCGAAGUCUCUCGAGAAGUUGGAGUGUGAGAGCAAAGGCAGCUGGUAGUGUGACUAGAAGCUAAAAGACACCAUGAGAGAGCCACAGGCAAGCAGAAGCCAUGAAGAAGAGGAAACUGUGUGUCGGUGGGGGGAGGGGGCACUCAGUGGAGAUAGAGACAAAGGAGCCAGAGGCCGUCUGGGCGAUGGAGGAGCUCCAUCUUCCUGCGCAGCUUAGGAGAUGACCAGAUCCCUCCGGCUGCCGCCGAGCCGGGGUCCUGUCCUGGGCUCUGGAAGCCAAUCUGCCCUCACUGUUUAUGGCAUGCUGAGCACUGGGGGGCUCCCAAUUUCCAGACACAUCCUUACAAUAAAUCCCCAUAAAUCAAGGUGACCCACAAAGGUGUCUGGGGCCUGGGGAAUGCGUGACCAAUGGCCACACUAGCAUCUGACUUCCGUUCCCUUCAUCCUGCCCUUCUUGCUCCUGCCCAGCGUCUGCCAGAGACCGUGAAGGACGACGGCCAGUGCAAUAAGUGGCUCUCCAUCGCUCCAUCGUUUUGGUUCUCCUCGACUCCCACUCAGCUUGGCCACGAUCUCCAGGAACUCAGGACACCAGGCACUAUUCUCUCCAUUUUCAGGCACUGGGAUUCGCCAGGCGUUGACUGACUCGCAUGGAAAGCUGCCACCUUACAUGGGAGUGGUCGGUCCUCCCAGAGGUACCUUUUCCAGCAACAAAUUUGAAUUGUGUUUUUAAAAUCUCCAAAAUGUCUAUUUUAAAAUGCAGGCCCUAUGUCCCGAAGCCUGUGGAGGGUAGGAACCCAGCGUUCCUUGAAAUAGUCCUGCUAGUUCCCAUAGCCCCUCACUUGGGUGGGAAACCCUAGGGUUGCAGGGGUGCAAAUAGGACUUUGGGAAGAGGUUGCUUUAUCAGUGCAAGGGUCUCAGAGAGGCAAGAGCUGCUGCGGGAUCAUCUGCACUCCCGUCUCAUCUUGGGACUAUUUCCAUUUUUCGAACACUUCCCUUGAGUUGGGAAAGGGGCCAGUUCCAAACAGACCUCACUCUGCUACGCCUAGUUACAAUUCCCGCCCAUCUAGCCCCUUUCCUGCCACCUGAGCUCAGUGCUGCUCUCAGGCCCCAGUAAGAGGCACAUUGAAUCUUCUGGAAAAAUAACACAAGUCAAUGCAACUGGAGCGUUCACCACGAGCUCCCACAUGCUCAGGGAACCGGGGGUGGGGGCUGAAAUAUUCCGACUCAGUCGCUCUCUGAGGGUGUCGGGGGGCCUGUGGGGAUGUUUGCCUUUUCACAGAUGCAUGAAGCCAUCUCAUUCCCCGGCUUCUCUGGGAAAUGAGCUGUUCCACAUUGUUAACCUGGCACCAGAAGUUUUCAUAUUUCUUUAAAAGGCUGGUGAUUUUGAAAUCUUUUUUUCACAAAUGUAUGACUUAUGACCUACUCCUCUGUCUUUUUAAAGUAAGCAUCUUGAAAGUGAUCUUUCCAAGCCGACUUGCUUGGGGUCAUUAUUAGGAAGAGCUCUCAUUGCUAGGGCACCAUUCUCCCCAGAGUGCAGGGACCCGACUGUGCGUUAGUCAUCUUUGAAUUCCUCAGUACUCAGGCCAGCGUGGGGCCCAGCAGGGACGGUGGGCACUUGGCUGAGGCUGUGGCACAGGAGGGUGGCUGAGCCUGCUCCUCUGGAAGGCUGUGCUCUUUGAGGAAAGCUUCCCAUAGUGUCUUCUGGAUGCCGUCUUGCUACACCUUGAGGCUCUUCUUCAAAAAUAUUUGUAUUAAGGUGUAAUUCACAUAUCCUAAAAUUCAACAUAAAGUGGGUUUUAGAUACGUACAAAGCUGUAUGACCAUCGAAUAUCUAAUUCCAAACAUUUUCAUCACCUCCAAAAAAAAAAAUUCCACACCCAUUAUUGUGGUUGGGGUCUAAUUAUUCCCCAAAGGCCAUGUGUUGAAGACUUGGCUGCCAGUCUGUGGUUCCACUGGGAGACAGUAGGACCCUUAAGAGGUGAGACCUAGUGGCAGGAAGUUAGGUCACUGGGUGUGUGCCCUUGAAGGGGAUACAGGGACCAUCGCCCCUUCCUGUCUUUGCUUCUUUUGCUUCCCAGCUGCCAUGAGGUGAGCAGAUUUGCUUCACCAUCUGCUUCCUGCCAAUAUGUGCUGUCUCACCACAGGCCCAAAGCAAUGUGACCAAGCGACCAUGAACUGAAGCCUCUGAGAAAAUAAAGUUUCCUUCCUUAUAAGUUGAUUAUCUCAAGUACUUUGUUACAGUGAUGGAAAGCUGACUAACACAUUCAUUGUUACUCCACAUCCUCCCUCCACUAGUCCUGGCAGCCACUAAUCUACCUUUUGCCUCUCAGGAUUUGCCUCUCCUGCACUUUUUUAUAGAACUGGAAUCAUGCACUCUGUGGUCCUUUGUGUCUGGCUCCUUUUAUUUGUCAUAACGUCUUUCAAGAUCCAUCCGAGUUGUAGCAUGAAUCCUACUAUGAAGAUGCUGUUCUUCUUACUCUCGCUUCUAAGAGUCUUUCUUCAGCAACUUCCUGCAUUUCUAAUGUCCUAUGAGCCUGAUAACCAAACUUUCUAGAAAUGAAAGCAAAACAAAAAGAGAUAGGUCUUGUGUAAAACUGAGAAAAAUGUGGAGGUACUUGGGGCUUUUAUUUCAGUUGAUCAGGAAUGUUGCCUGCUUGCUUUCAGUAUCUUAGUUAUUUUCUCAGUGGCUAAGUUUUCCAGUGACUCCAAGAAAAGCAUCAAUCUAAGAAUCACUUGCUUCAUUUCCAUUUGACAAAUCCAUAUUUAUAUGCAGAGAGAGAGAGAGAGAGAGAGAGAGAGAACAAAGAAGCUAAGUGAUUUAUACACAGUCACACUGGUGGUAUAUGUAAUACUAAAAAAAAUCAUAACAUAACAUUCUCUACUCUGAGUCCCCCAUCAAUACUUAAGAAUUGGUGUGUGUGUGUGAAAUUCAAGAACUAGUCUGACAUGCACAACUAGGCCUCAGCAUUGGUAGGCGCUCCCUUGAGCACUAGGGCCAAGGCAUUCUGUGUUUUGUUGGACACAGACAAUCUCGUGGAUCCCACCAUCAGAGACAGUCACUCUGUGACCACAAAAUGAAACCAAGAAAACACUAAUCUGUCUAAGCAGACCAAAAAAAAAAAAGGUCAUUGUGCAAAUCACAAAAACAUCAACCAUCUCUCCAUCCCAGCUAAUAAUGAUGAUGGAGCUUCUUCAACAAGUGCAACUUGAACCUUGCUCCGUUCCUCUUGCUCUCUAGGUAAGAAUCAUUAACACAAUUGUAGUAGCAUCAUCCUGCUUACUGAAAAUACCCAACCCAGAGAAAGGCCCCAUCCUUCCUAACCCUCCCGGCCCCAGGCACAAGCCCAGGUGUGUAAGUGGAUCUAACAUCAAUGGAGCAGGUUCUUCCUUCUUGGAACAAGUCCAUAAGAACAACUCAGUUCAACUGCAGGUGUGUUCUCUGUGGUUUUCAGGUAGAGAGUUUUGGCAGAAACAGAGAUUGCCCUGCAAAGCCCACUGAACCAAGAGGCUCUCCUUGAACCCAGAGAUUGUCACUUGGUGAUGGCAUUCAUUGCCAUCCAGUCUUCUAAGGACUGCUCCUAUCCCUAGCUACUUGUCUGAUGCAUUAGGUGUUAUCUCUAAGUCAGCAGGAAGAGCGCAGACUUAGCCCUAAGAAGUCGACCCUGGAGCUGGUCUCAGGGACUGUGGAGUUCAGAAGACCCCCUGACCAGCAUCCUUUUGGGACCAAUUUUACCCCAGGUCAUCAUUUCAAAACUUUAUGAAGGCUUCCCCCUGGGUCCUGUCUUUGUGCUGUGGCAUCAGAAGGAUUUUUGACUGAAUGCUCAUUUUUGACAACCUGCCUUUGACCUUAGACCAAGCUCCAGGGACACAGUGUCCUUACAGAUGGCUAGGGUUUCCCUAGGGCUUUCUUCUUCUAAAAUGGCACUCUUCUGGGCUUUACACUUUCUCCCUAUCCUGCUAAUUCAUCUUAUUUCAUUUACACAAGUCCUUAAGAGGCAAUUUGGAAAUAUAAGGGCCACCGUGGGGGAAUUUUGACACAAGCAAGAUUGUUCAUUGGUACCAUGCGGCAGAAAGAAAGAUCAUUGUGUUUAAUGUAGGAGCCCCAACCCUCCUCCUUUGUUACCUUACUUCAGGGAUUAAUAAGUGCUGGCUUUUUUUUAUCACAAGACAAUGUUGACACAGUAGCGUUUGAGCACCUAUGUCAAAAUCCAUUUUUCUUCUAACCAUCUUUUCAUAACUCUCUCUAUGGAAGGAACAUUUAGCCUUAGAGUGAUAAUUUCUUAUUGGAAACCAGCCCCUCAUAUUUUGUUUGCUUGUGUGUUCCUGUCCCUCUAUUUUUUUCCUCUCUUGAGAAACUGCAAAGAUAACUGGUUGGAAAUAGCACCGUUGAGGGUGUGUUCUAAGAUACCUAGGGUCCAGAAUAAACAGUCCAAAAAUAUCCAAAAAGAAAGUCAUCCAACUGUGCUUCUUUUUGUGGAUGUUAUACCUAACAUGUAUAGCCUUUUUAAACAAUAUUUGUGAAAUAAGAAAACGCGUUAACUCCAAGAUUAGAAGAUUUUGAUCAGCUCAGUCUUUAAAUAAUAAUCAAUUUACCAUAGAUAGGUGGGUAGUGCCACCCACUGCUGAGAACAAGACCACUGUUAAAGUUCCCAUUGGUUUUAUGAGUUACACUGUUUAAAAAUAAAAGCUAUGCAACUAUAAAA